rnacentral:rRNA from 1 species
AUACGGAGGAUCCGAGCGUUAUCCGGAUUUAUUGGGUUUAAAGGGUGCGCAGGCGGCCAUUUAAGUCAGCGGUUAAAUCGUGGGGCUCAACCCCAUUCUGCCGUUGAUACUGGGUGGCUUGAUUGUGGUCGAGGUUGGCGGAAUUCGUUGUGUAGCGGUGAAAUGCAUAGAUAUGACGAAGAACACCGAUUGCGUAGGCAGCUGACCAGACCGCAAAUGACGCUCAUGCACGAAAGUGUGGGGAUCGAACAGGAUUAGAUACCCUGGUAGUCCGCACAGUAAACGAUGAAUACUUGUUUUCGGCGAUAUAAUGUCGGAGGCAAAGCGAAAGCGAUAAGUAUUCCACCUGGGGAGUACGCCGGCAACGGUGAAACUCAAAUGAAUUGACGGGG